rnacentral:tRNA from 1 species
GGGUGUGGGUGCGGCGGCCGGGCGGCCGGGUGGUUUCGGCGGCCGUCGGGCGGCGUGGGUUCCUGCGCCUGCGUUCGGCGCGCAGGCAGGCCCUC